UCUCAUUAAGGAUAUACUUCAACAUAUACAAAAGAAUGAAAAGUUAGGGAAGAGCUCUUAUGGCGUUUUAAUUAAUCUGCAAAAUAAAAUCAGAACAUCAAGUUGUUCAAGCUUCAGUUGUAGUAGAACACUAUACAAAGGCUUCUCGAAGAAAUUUUUAGCUUUGAGCAUCCAGGUAUGUUAGAUUUAUCUUAUUUUUAGAUUUUAUUAUUUACGGUAAUUGUGUGUUCUUAUGCUAGUCUUGUACAGGUGAUUGUAGUUUUUGUAUCAUUUGGUAUAGAUAUCAUGUCUUAAUUAUCUAAUUAGGAUCACGUUCCAGUAAAGUUCUAUUUAGUUAACUCUUAAUAUGAUGUGGUAUUUAAGUUGUGAAAUCUUGGAUUCAUCCUUAAUUAAGAAAGUUACUCGAAAGGUUAUUUAAAUAUAUUUUAACUAGGAUUUAUGGUCAACAUAUAUUAUAUUUAUGUCAUUUAUUGUUAAAUUUGGUAAUAUUGUGGCAUCGAUCACAGUAUGAUUUGGGUUUCAAUUUUACAGUUGGAUAUGAUUACUACAAGUUUCGGUUUGAGUUUGGCAUCUUGUUAUGAUAUUAUGUGGGAGUUCUGGUACUAAUUACAAUUGUUCUAGGAGUUGUGGCUCCUCAAAGUUUCGGUUUGAGUCCGGUAUUUGAUUAUGAGUUUUGUCGUAUAUCUUGUAGGUGGUCUCUCAUUAUUACCCACAAUGUUUUAUUUGAAUCCAGCAUAUAACCUCUUGUUAUUAUCCACCACUACCGGUUCAAUCUUGGUGUCUGGCCUCUCGUUACUACCCAUUGGUGUUGGUUUGAGCCUGUGCACAUCUGGAAGGCUAAUAUGGUUUCAUGGGAUUGAUUCAGCUAUGAAUUAUUUAUAUUUUUCUUUAAAAUUACUUCUUGUGUGUUCCACUAGCUUAUGGGGGCACGUUGGGUUAGUUUUCUUUUUUACUGUCUGGUGGGCUUAUGGGAACCAGUUAGUUAAUGUUUAGUUUGCCUUUUAUCAUUACAUUAUUUAUCUUUCUGUAUCACUUUUACUUAAGCCUUUAUUUCAUUUGUGUAGAUCGAUAGUUCUUUACUUUUCUAUCCCUAUUUAUUAUUGACUUAGAUUACAUGUGUGCGUUUUAGCUAGACUUUUUUUGUAUAGAGACUAGUCGGCG
rnacentral:lncRNA from 1 species